rnacentral:rRNA from 1 species
GACGAACGCUGGCGGCGUGCUUAACACAUGCAAGUCGAACGGAAAGGUCCUGCUUUUGUGGGGUGCUCGAGUGGCGAACGGGUGAGUAACACGUGAGUAACCUGUCCCUGACUUUGGGAUAACUUCAGGAAACUGGGGCUAAUACCGGAUAGGAGCUCUUGCUGCAUGGUGGGGGUUGGAAAGUUUCGGCGGUUGGGGAUGGACUCGCGGCUUAUCAGCUUGUUGGUGGGGUAGUGGCUUACCAAGGCUUUGACGGGUAGCCGGCCUGAGAGGGUGACCGGCCACAUUGGGACUGAGAUACGGCCCAGACUCCUACGGGAGGCAGCGGUGGAGAAUAUUGCACAAUGGGCGGAAGCCUGAUGCAGCAACGCCGCGUGCGGGAUGACGGCCUUCGGGUUGUAAACCACUUUCGCCUGUGACGAAGCGUGAGUGACGGUAAUGGGUAAAGAAGCACCGGCUAACUACGUG